UUGGCCCGCAAAAAGAUCUGUGUUUGUUAUUGUUGUUUUCGAGGUGGUAUAAUGGUAUAUGCCGCGUGUAACUUUGUAGUAACUUAGUAAUAGGCUUUGCAGUAUUGUGAUUUCUAAGAGACGAAAAGCGGAACGCAAAAUUGUUGGAGAGAAAAAAGGAAACUUAAUAUACAUUCGCAUGCUGGUAGGCAAACAAGCUGAUCGGUAAAAUGAUUGUGGUUAGAAUAUAGUAUUUUCCCAUAGAAUACAAAUGUAUCGGAUUUAUUUAAUACUGUGACGUAUGUACUCAAGCUGCACGUGUAGUGUUGUACUCAGGAACGUUAUAAACUGCAGAUAUAGUUUUAUAGCUGUGUUGUAUGCAACUUAGUGCUGUUGUGGCUUUUGGAAGGCUUCUUCAAAUGUAACUCUCGUUUAAACAUGUUGAGAAGUUAAUUAAUGGAGUUGCUGGACUUUAUUUUUAGCCACUGAAGUAUAUAGCCAUGAAACUCGCUAAAAACAGGAAGAGAAAUGCAGCAAAACUGGAGAUACCGGUACUCUGGGAAAUUCGCAUUUGCAAAAUAAGAUGCUGAGGUAGCAGAUAGAAUUCGUAAAUCAAAUCAGUGUCUAGUAAAUUCACUCUUCAUUAUUAAUCAUAAGUACCACUGGGGAGUAAAUGGUUUAGGAUUAAGUAUUGAAUUUCAAUGUGAGAAUGGAUAAUUUUUAGAUCUCAGCUGUGCUGUUUAGAAAGGAAAUGCUGUAGGAUAGAUUGAAUAAAAGUAUUGUUUGUGGGCCAGUACAGUGAGAAAGAUCUCCUAAGUGCAAAACAGGCAGUACUGGCCUUUUUGGGUUGUACCAAAAAGAUGCACUGUUUUCUUAUCAAUUGGCAGUCAUCGCCUCAUCACCUGAGGCUAACGUGAGGUUAUUCAGGCAGGUGCUGAUGCUACACCCAUCUGCUUUGACCUAUAAUGUCAUGGUGUAAUGAGGGAUGUCGUGGUCAGAUAUUGUAUGUGUUUGAAAUAGUGUACACCAUGUUGAUGGCAUUACUGGUCAAAACAGGCAGGUGGAAUCAUGACUUUACACCAAUCUACCUUUUAUAAUUAAUAAAAGCACAUUGCAAGUCCAGUACCACAACAGAGUGACUACAGGAUUGCACAACCAAACGUU